UACGUAGGGUGCAAGCGUUGCCCGGAUUUAUUGGGCGUAAAGGGCGCGUAGGCGGCCCGCUAAGUCGAACGUGAAAUCCCCAGGCUCAACCUGGGAACUGCGUCCGAUACUGGCAGGCUUGAAUCCGGGAGAGGGAUGUGGAAUUCCAGGUGUAGCGGUGAAAUGCGUAGAUAUCUGGAGGAACACCGGUGGCGAAGGCGGCAUCCUGGACCGGUAUUGACGCUGAGGCGCGAAAGCUAGGGGAGCAAACGGG
rnacentral:rRNA from 1 species